rnacentral:rRNA from 1 species
UACGUAGGCAGCAAGCGUUGUUCGGAGUUACUGGGCGUAAAGAGUGCGUAGGCGGUGUCGAAAGUUUGGCGUGAAAUCUCCCGCUUAACUGGGAGGGUGCGCCGAAAACUGCGGUGCUGGAGUGUGGGAAAGGCAAGCGGAAUUCCUGGUGUAGCGGUGAAAUGCGUAGAUAUCAGGAGGAACACCGGCGGUGUAGACGGCUUGCCGUAGACCAUAACUGACGCUGAGGCACGAAAGCGUGGGUAGCAAACAGG